UACGGAGGAUCCGAGCGUUAUCCGGAUUUAUUGGGUUUAAAGGGUGCGUAGGCGGCUAGAUAAGUCAGGGGUGAAAUACGGUGGCUCAACCAUCGCAGUGCCUUUGAUACUGUUAAGCUUGAAUAAGGUUGAAGAUGGCGGAAUGUGACAAGUAGCGGUGAAAUGCAUAGAUAUGUCACAGAACUCCGAUUGCGAAGGCAGCUGUCUAAGUCUAUAUUGACGCUGAUGCACGAAAGCGUGGGUAUCGAAC
rnacentral:rRNA from 1 species